AAUCUCACGUGGUUCGUUGCGCGUUCGUAAAUUGGCGGGGCACGUACGGUGGAGGACUUCAAAAAAACGUCACAACAGUCAAAGUGGUUAUCAUGACAGUCAGACUCAGAGCCAAUGAAGUGGAUGCUGUCAAGAAUGCUUAUGUGAACCACACAAAGCUGAUCUUCAACUAAAGGAAUGCCCAACUUUCAAAGUCCUUGCCAUUCGAGAAACUUUGAAAAUCACCUCCAAUUAGAAGUUGCCCCUGGAUGACUUUGGACAUUAACAGUACAGGCAAUACUGCUGCACAUCUGAACAGUUUGGAACAAAGGAUGGACAUGAACGUUUGGUUGAGUAUUGCGUUUCUCCAGUGCGGACUCGUUGCAAACUGCUACAUAACUUGAUACAAUCGUCUUGGAAGCACAACUGAAGAACAUGCCUACCUUGAACUCCAUGCAAUAUUGGAAGUUUGUUUGGACACUUGUUUGGAAGGACGAUGCUUGUUUGGAAGGACGAUGCAUGUUUGGAAGGACGAUGCUUGUUUGGA